UACGUAGGGGGCAAGCGUUGUCCGGAUUUAUUGGGCGUAAAGAGCGUGUAGGCGGUUUGGUAGGUCCGUUGUGAAAACUCGAGGCUCAACCUCGAGACGCCGAUGGAAACCAUCAGACUAGAGUCCGGAAGAGGAGAGUGGAAUUCCUGGUGUAGCGGUGAAAUGCGCAGAUAUCAGGAAGAACACCCGUGGCUAAGGCGGCUCUCUAGUACGGUACUGACGCUGAAGACGCGGAAAGCGUGGGGAGCGAACAGG
rnacentral:rRNA from 1 species